CUCUCCUCAGGAUACCCAGCCCCUCAAAGGCCCAGCAGGGGGAGACACUGAGCCCUGACCUUUGUCCUCUACUGCAGGUUUCAUGUAACCGAUUAAGGCUUAAUAAUUUACCAAGUGAGCAGCGGCCCUUCAAAACUGAAGAAGUGACACCAACUGAUGUUGAUGGGUUUUCAGUUUAGGACAGUUGACCCGAGAAUGUGUUUCCAGAGGUAUCACAUUUAGAUUUGAAAUGCGUUAGUGGUUCUUUUUUUCUUAGACGUGAUGAUCAGAACCUUCUGAAUGUGAAUUAUAACUCAUUUUAGGGCUGUGAGGCAAAAAAAGGGUUUGAGCGUUGGUCAAUGAAAGAAGUAGUCUCUUGAUGGCACGCAUUUGGGGAAAAAAAACAAAAAACUACCUGCAAAAUUGUCUUGGACAAGCAUAAAUCACUCCAAGUGCAUUUUUCAUUUGAGGAUUAUCAAGAGGCCCUUGUUUUAGGUGACUUAUAGUGGAGUAAUCGGGUUAGCAGAUUUGCAGACAAUGGCCAAAUUAGUGAGCUUGCUGCUUGAGUGCACAAUCCUAAUACCCUGGUAGGAAUUCAGCCUGGAUAGAAAGGGCAUUUGCACUAAAUGAAUUACUCUAUUCACUUUGUAGCGCACACUGACCCUGAUUGAAGUCAUUGGAUGACACAGUUGGGGAUUUCGGAAGAGAAAUUUAGAACAGGUUAAAGGCUUCGAGCUAAAUGUUGGAUUGAAGGCCCAGUGAGGUUGUCCUGAAAAACUGAAGUCGUUUGGCCCAUUUGGUCGUCUUACCCACUGUGAUGUACGGCAUCACAAUCAUCUUGGAGUUGUUAAAGGGACACUUCACCCCAAAAUCAAAAAUACAUCUUUUUCCUCUUACCUGUAGUGCUAUUUAUCAAACUAGAUUGUGUUGGUGUGAGUUCAGUGUUAUGCAGAGAUUUCUGCCUUCUUUCCAACAUGAUGGAACUAGAUGGCACUCAGCUUGUGGUGCUUAAAGCCCCAAAAAUACAUUUGCAUAAGUCAAAUGAUGACUCGCUUACCCAACAUAAUCUACAGACUUGGUUGUGAGCAGUUUCUUGGAAGAACUAUUUUCUUGCUUCUAAACUACACCCGCCAACCGUAUCCUGCACAGAAGGAAGUGUGCUCUUUGACAAGAGGCCCUUCCUCCUCCGCUGAGCUGUAACUGUAACUAACUGAUACUGCUAGCUCAUCUGAGCUAGCGUUACAGCUCAGCCGAAAAGGACGUCAUUAAAGUCUCGCCGGUCUUGAGAACGAGCCUCUCGUCCAUGAGGACGCUUCCUCAAGCGCAGUCAUACGGUUUGCAGGUGUAGGGAAAAAAAUGAUUUUGCAUUUGGGGGUAAAGUGUUCUUUUUCAUUUUAUCGGUAAAUAACACAAACUAUCACUGAACAACAACUAGAUUUAAGUAAUUGAUUUUAACGAAACAAUUUCAACUCAAGGUUCCCUUACUGGCUUUUUUAGGAACUUUCAAUUGCAUCACAUGGUCUGACAUCUGCUGUGUCUAGCUAAAUCUCAAGUUAUGAAUUAUUUCUCAUGAUUUUUAAAUCCACAAAUGCUUCCGUUGUGUAUGUGACAACAAUGCAAGUGAGCAAGUUACACCUACGACAGAUCUCGCUCUCUGAUUUCUGUUUACCAAAAAGUUAGCGAGAGAUUUUGCAUUGUUGACUGCACUUACGAUCAAGUCGGACAUUUGUGUUGUGGCUCUACAGACCAUAGAAAGAAAACAACAAGACAUAGAAAUGCUUAAAGUAACAUUUCCAGACUUAAUGUACAUUUCUUAACGUUACUAGUUCCAAAGAUGACUUGGUUGACAAUUGUCUCAUUACAUUACACACGUGGUAAGGUGAAAAUAAGCCAAACGACAAGUUGUUGUGGGCAUUCAACAGUUACUGAACAUGGUCCCUGCUUAAAGACAACACAACACAUUUGAUCGGUUUUUGCGGCAACCUCCGGUAUCCCAGGUGACCGUCUGAAUCUCCUGUUCAUGCCGGCCGUUGAAAGAUUUCAGUCUUUAUGUUCGGCCUUAUAUGGUGUGUUAUAGCAGUUUUACGUUUUUAUUUAUUGAGUGAAUCUAACAUUGCAUUUCAUACCUUUUUUUAUUUUAUUUUCUAAUAAUUCCAAAAUGGUUAGCUUCAUAUGCUUUGCAUUGAAGUUUGAGAUUCACUAUUUCUGUGUGUGAAUAUACUAACUUAAUUUUAAUAAACACUGUACAGAUACCUGAAUAUUUUUUUUUUCUUCCUUUGUAUGCUAAAUUUACUUUUUGUAAAUGCUUUAAGCGCUGUGUACAGGGACCUAGCGUUUAGCUUGCAGAUGUGACUUUGUAAAUGUACUUACCACUGCUUAAGGAGCUGCUGAGAUGGAGGAUGUAAAUACUGUAAGAAAUACUGUGAAAAGCUUACUGUACAGUGAUCCUUUACACCUCUGUAGGAGUGGCAAGAAGAAUUAUUUAACAGUUGUCAGUAAACAUUUCCAUUAAAAUGUAUAAAAUAAUAAA